GUCUGGUGGGUAGUUUGACUGGGGCGGUCUCCUCCUAAAGAGUAACGGAGGAGCACGAAGGUUGGCUAAUCCUGGUCGGACAUCAGGAGGUUAGUGCAAUGGCAUAAGCCAGCUUGACUGCGAGCGUGACGGCGCGAGCAGGUGCGAAAGCAGGUCAUAGUGAUCCGGUGGUUCUGAAUGGAAGGGCCAUCGCUCAACGGAUAAAAGGUACUCCGGGGAUAACAGGCUGAUACCGCCCAAGAGUUCAUAUCGACGGCGGUGUUUGGCACCUCGAUGUCGGCUCAUCACAUCCUGGGGCUGAAGUAGGUCCCAAGGGUAUGGCUGUUCGCCAUUUAAAGUGGUACGCGAGCUGGGUUUAGAACGUCGUGAGACAGUUCGGUCCCUAUCUGCCGUGGGCGCUGGAGAACUGAGGGGGGCUGCUCCUAGUACGAGAGGACCGGAGUGGACGCAUCACUGGUGUUCGGGUUGUCAUGCCAAUGGCACUGCCCGGUAGCUAAAUGCGGAAGAGAUAAGUGCUGAAAGCAUCUAAGCACGAAACUUGCCCCGAGAUGAGUUCUCCCUGACUCCUUGAGAGUCCUGAAGGAACGUUGAAGACGACGACGUUGAUAGGCCGGGUGUGUAAGCGCAGCGAUGCGUUGAGCUAACCGGUACUAAUGAACCGUGAGG
rnacentral:rRNA from 2 species